AUGACCAAGGCAACUUGUAAAAGAAGAACCUGCACUUGGUCUGUGUGGACAUGCCUGGACGUGAAGUUUGUAGAAUGCCUUAAGCUGAACAAAAAGCCAUUUCACCUUAUAGGCACCUCCAUGGGUGGCCACGUGCCUGGAGUAUAUGCUGCUUACUACCCAUCUGAUGUCUGCAGUCUGUCUCUCGUGUGUCCUGCUGCACCAGAAGGCCUGUAGUAUUUAACUGACAGUCCUUUUGUACAGCGGCUCAAAGAGCUGGAGGAGUCAGCUGCCAUUCAGAAGAUUCCCUUGAUCCCAUCCACCCCGGAAGAGAUGAGUGAGAUGCUGAAGCUCUGCUCCUAUGUCAGCUUCAAGGUGCCCCAGCAGAUCCUUCAAGGUCUUGUCGAUGUUCACAUCCCUCAUAACAGCUUCUACCAGAAAUUGUUUUUGGAGAUCGUCAACAAGAAAUCCAGAUACUCUCUGCAUGAGAAUAUGGACAAGAUCAAGGUCCCGACAUAGAUCAUUUGGGGGAAACAAGACCAGGUGCUUGAUGUGUCCGGGGCAGACAUAUUAGCCAAGUCAAUCACUAACUCCCAGGUAGAGGUUCUGGAAAACCGUGGCCAUUCAGUAGUGAUGGAGAGACCGAGGAAGACAGCCAAGCUCAUUGUCGACUUUUUAGCUUCUGUGCAUAACACAGAAAACAAGAAGCUGAACUGAGGCUGUUGCUGCAGCCUGCAUUGUGCACACAGCAUCUGCUCCCAUCCCCAAAACCUGUC